rnacentral:rRNA from 1 species
CGGGUGAGUAACGCGUGGGAACGUACCCUCUUCUGCGGAAUAGCCACUGGAAACGGUGAGUAAUACCGCAUACGCCCUUCGGGGGAAAGAUUUAUCGGAGGAGGAUCGGCCCGCGUUGGAUUAGGUAGUUGGUGGGGUAAUGGCCUACCAAGCCUACGAUCCAUAGCUGGUUUUAGAGGAUGAUCAGCCACACUGGGACUGAGACACGGCCCAGACUCCUACGGGAGGCAGCAGUGGGGAAUCUUAGACAAUGGGCGCAAGCCUGAUCUAGCCAUGCCGCGUGUGUGACGAAGGCCUUAGGGUCGUAAAGCACUUUCGCCUGUGAUGAUAAUGACAGUAGCAGGUAAAGAAACCCCGGCUAACUCCGUGCCAG